rnacentral:rRNA from 1 species
CACUCCUACGGGAGGCAGCAGUAGGGAAUCUUCCACAAUGGGUGCAAACCUGAUGGAGCAAUGCCGCGUGAGUGAAGAAGGUCUUCGGAUCGUAAAGCUCUGUUGUUAGAGAAGAACACGUGCUAGGUAACUACUAGCGCCUUGACGGUAUCUAACCAGAAAGUCACGGCUAACUACGUGCCAGCAGCCGCGGUAAUACGUAGGUGACAAGCGUUGUCCGGAUUUAUUGGGCGUAAAGGGAGCGCAGGCGGUCUGUUUAGUCUAAUGUGAAAGCCCACGGCUUAACCGUGGAACGGCAUUGGAAACUGACAGACUUGAAUGUAGAAGAGGAAAAUGGAAUUCCAAGUGUAGCGGUAGAAUGCGUAGAUAUUUGGAGGAACACCAGUGGCGAAGGCGAUUUUCUGGUCUAACAUUGACGCUGAGGCUCGAAAGCGUGGGGAGCGAACAGGAUUAGAAACCCUGGUAGUCCCA